CCUCUGAUGGCAGUCGCUGGAUGCUUCAUCCACGUGUAGUGGUUUUCUUUCCUCUGCACACCUCUCAGUACAUACUCCAGCUGGGACAAUCUUUUCAGAUGAACACCCUGUUUUUAUCCCAGUCUGAUAAAUUUUUCUUGAAAAGAGGUCAAACAGGAAAGCAAACCUUCCUCUGCCUGUCUCAGUGCAAUCAUGAAGAUCACGCAAGAUAGUCCCUGUUGGAGUGUGUGUGCUUCAGCAGUGCAGAGCAUUCAAAGGCCAUCAAGCUCCAGAUGAUCCUCAGUGAGGGAUACCGCUCUCUCAGUAUUCAAGAGUCACCCUUCCACAGAGAAGCCCUAGACUGCCCAUCAGUGGAAUAUGAGAGAGCCUGCACCAGAUGCAACUCCUAUAGAAGAGGGAAAUCCUGAACUGACUGAGCGAACUCUCAGAAUUGACCAUGAUUCACAUUUUUACCCUUGACGGAAAAAGGAUUCAAGGAACACAUUACAUUUCUGUUUUAGAAAAAUAAAGUUGUAUUUUUGCAUACCUG
rnacentral:lncRNA from 1 species